GAUGAACGCUGGCGGCGUGCUUAACACAUGCAAGUCGAACGAAGCAUUUAAGACAGAAUACUUCGGUUUGAAGUCUUUUAUGACUGAGUGGCGGACGGGUGAGUAACGCGUGGGUAACCUGCCUCAUACAGGGGGAUAGCAGCUGGAAACGGCUGGUAAUACCGCAUAAGCGCACAGUACCACAUGGUACAGUGUGAAAAACUCCGGUGGUAUGAGAUGGACCCGCGUCUGAUUAGCUUGUUGGCGGGGUAACGGCCCACCAAGGCGACGAUCAGUAGCCGACCUGAGAGGGUGACCGGCCACAUUGGGACUGAGACACGGCCCAGACUCCUACGGGAGGCAGCAGUGGGGAAUAUUGCACAAUGGAGGAAACUCUGAUGCAGCGACGCCGCGUGAGUGAAGAAGUAGUUCGCUAUGUAAAGCUCUAUCAGCAGGGAAGAUAGUGACGGUACCUGACUAAGAAGCUCCGGCUAAAUACGUG
rnacentral:rRNA from 1 species